CUUCUUUUUCCCUUGGGUGGUGUCUUCAGCGGUCACCCUCAGGGGAAACAGGUCCCCCCCCCCUUGGAGGAAAUGGACUGAUCGGAACCUGGCUGUGACAUCGGCUCAGAAUCCCAGCCUCACUUUGCAGUUGAGGCCAAUCCCUGCCUUGCGCAGCAGCCUUUGGGUGCCUUAUCUGCGUCUGCAAAGUGAGAAGAUUAACGUCUGGGAAAAUGUCAGCCAUUGAGGAUGACAAUUUCAAUGAAAAGGAGGAGGAGGCCAAAGCCGAGGAGGAGACGACUGCAAGACGAAUGGAUCUCCUCAGCCCUGACUGGGUUCCAAGUAUGUCACCAUUUUCGAGUGUUUCCUCCCUGUCCUCCGU